ensembl:lncRNA
AUGUUCGACAUGCAUACGGUGUAUAAUAUGGUCCUACCUUUUCUUCCUGAGGUCUGGCGUGGCUUCUUGCCUCCUCUACUUGUGUCAGGAGCUGUGUCUUGUGCUCUUUGGCUUCACCCGUCCAGCCCAUGGCUUCAGAAGCAUGCUUCUCCGCGAGCUCCACUUUAUGUGUCUGUUCCAGAGCAUUACGCACCUCCUCGUGGGAGGCUCUGAGCUCCUCCAAGGCUUGCUGGUGCGAGGCCUCGACCGAUGCUAGUUUAGCGCGCCACUCCUCAACGAUAUUUGAAUUCUCCUCCUUAGAUUUGGCCAGCUGACCCGAAAGCUGCUCGUUAUCCUUCGACAAGCGACCUGCGGAUGACUGGAGCUGUGACCGAGAUUCACUGAGUUCCUCUUCUCGAGCCGCCAGCGUCUGGCGCAAGGAAGACAGCUCAGCCUGGUGACUGUGACCCUGAGCGGCCAGCUGCGUGUGGAGCGAGCACAGCUCCUCCUGGAGAGCAGCAACCCCGUCCUGUCCUGAGACGGCUUCUAAAGACUUCCGAAGAGCAGCUACCUCCUUGUCCCGCAAGCCAAGAUCCCGCUCCAACUCCAGGAUACGGGACUUCUCCGAGACCGUGGCCACCUAAAAGUCAAAGCUGGUCUUUUAGUAAACAAUAUGUGCUGUGUGGAUAAGUGAGGACUUGGUGAUGGUACGGAUAUAAUCAUCUUGUCAGGUUAAGAAGUGGAUAAUUUAGUUCAGUAUUUUGAUUUUUUUUGCUCAGAUUCCAGAUUUUCAAAUAGUUGUAUCUCAGACAAAUAUUGUCCUCCUAACAAACCACACAUCAAUGGAGAGAUGAUUUAUUCAGCUUUCAGAUGAUGUAUAAAUCUCAAUUUAAACAAAAUUGACCCUCAUGACUGGUUUUGUGCUCCAGGGUCACAUUUCAUGUAGUUAAAUACCUUCAAGUGUUUUCUUCUUACCUAUACAUUUUGAUCUUCAAGGGUCAUUAAAUGAGAUAUUCUCUCCGCACAUCAGUUUUGGCCACUAGAUAUACAUAUAACCAACAACUUUAAAUGAAUCAUUUUCAUUAAGUCACAAAGCCAUUAAGUACACUAUCUUGUACCUGUCUUUUUUCCUGAUUUUUAAAUAGUUUUAUGCUUCAAAUAAUUAUAAUUAUAAUAGUUCUAAUUCACCUUAUAGCUUGGUGAUUUGGUUCCUGGCUUAAAAUUAUUUUAAUGUAAACUUCGGAAAUCCCUUUGGGAAAAAUUAAUAGAGAAAUACUUCCAGAACCAACACCACUAAAAGUCUGUGUAUAUUUCCUACAGUCCUUCCUAAGGUUGAACUGAUUUCUUACAAUCUCCUGAUGUUUUCAGGCUCUCUACAGCUGUGGGAACCCCAUAUAAAACAAAUCUGUGUUCCUCUAUAUACCUACAUGUGUAUCAAGACACCACAAUGAUAUUACAGCCAUUAGAUAUUUAGUGCAUGUUAGUAAUCCUUCCUAGUAUUAGUUAUUAACUGGAACAACAUGCAGUGAAGAUCCCAUAGAAAAAUAAAUGUUAGCUGGAGCACUGUGGGAUAUCGUCC